rnacentral:rRNA from 1 species
CCAGACUCCUACGGGAGGCAGCAGUGAGGAAUAUUGGUCAAUGGACGAGAGUCUGAACCAGCCAAGUAGCGUGCAGGAUGACGGCCCUAUGGGUUGUAAACUGCUUUUAUAAGGGAAUAAAGUGAGAGUCGUGACUCUUUUUGCAUGUACCUUAUGAAUAAGGACCGGCUAAUUCCGUGC